AGACGUAGGGGGCGAGCGUUGUCCGGAAUUACUGGGCGUAAAGAGCACGUAGGCGGGAACUUAAGUCAGGUGUGAAAGACCGUGGCUCAACCACGGGGUGGCAUUUGAAACUGGGUUUCUUGAGGGCAGGAGAGGAAAGCAGAAUUCCUGGUGUAGCGGUGAAAUGCGUAGAAAUCAGGAGGAAUACCAGUGGCGAAGGCGGCUUUCUGGACUGACCCUGACGCUGAGGUGCGAAAGCGUGGGUAGCAAACAGGAUUAGAUACCCUGGUAGUCCACGCCGUAAACGAUGGAUACUAGGUGUGGGAGGUAUCGACCCCUUCCGUGCCGCAGCUAACGCAAUAAGUAUCCCGCCUGGGGAGUACGGUCGCAAGGCUGAA
rnacentral:rRNA from 1 species